AGGACGAACGCUGGCGGCGUGCUUAACACAUGCAAGUCGAGCGGUAAGGCCUUUCGGGGUACACGAGCGGCGAACGGGUGAGUAACACGUGGGUGAUCUGCCCUGCACUUCGGGAUAAGCCUGGGAAACUGGGUCUAAUACCGGAUAUGACCUCAGGUCGCAUGACUUGGGGUGGAAAGAUUUAUCGGUGCAGGAUGGGCCCGCGGCCUAUCAGCUUGUUGGUGGGUAAUGGCCUACCAAGGCGACGACGGGUAGCCGACCUGAGAGGGUGACCGGCCACGACUGGGACUGAGACACGGCCCAGACUCCUACGGGAGCAGCGAGUGGGGAAUAUUGCACAAUGGGCGAAAGCCUGAUGCAGCGACGCCGCGUGAGGAUGGACGGCCUUACGGGUUGUAAAACCUCUUUCUAGCAGGGACAAGCGACAAGGUGACGGUACUGCAGAAGAAGCAACGCUAACUACGUGACCAGCGACGCCGUAGUACUCGUAGACGGCGGUACGCGACGAGACG
rnacentral:rRNA from 1 species